rnacentral:rRNA from 1 species
UGGGCAAUCUGCCCUUCUCAUCGGAAUAAGCGUUGGAAACGACGUCUAAUGCCGAAUACGACCUCCUUUCGCAUGAUCGGAGGUGGAAAGCUCCGGCGGAGAAGGAUGAGCUCGCGGCCUAUCAGCUAGUUGGUGUGGGUAAUGGCCUACCAAGGCGACGACGGGUAGCCGGCCUGAAAGGGUGUCCGGCCACACUGGGACUGAGACACGGCCCAGACUCCUACGGGNGGCAGC